rnacentral:rRNA from 1 species
AAGCCUGAUGCAGCCCGCCGCGUGUGUGAAGAAGGCCUUCGGGUCGUAAAGCACUGUUAUCGGGGAGGAAGGGAGUGAAGAUAAUACGUUCGCUGUUUGACGUUACCCUACCAAAAAGCACCGGCUAACUCCGUG